rnacentral:rRNA from 2 species
AGAGUUUGAUCCUGGCUCAGGACGAACGCUGGCGGCGUGCCUAAUACAUGCAAGUCGAGCGGACUUAAAAAGCUUGCUUUUUAAGUUAGCGGCGGACGGGUGAGUAACACGUGGGCAACCUGCCUGUAAGACUGGGAUAACUUCGGGAAACCGGAGCUAAUACCGGAUAAUCCUUUUCUACUCAUGUAGAAAAGCUGAAAGACGGUUUACGCUGUCACUUACAGAUGGGCCCGCGGCGCAUUAGCUAGUUGGUGAGGUAACGGCUCACCAAGGCGACGAUGCGUAGCCGACCUGAGAGGGUGAUCGGCCACACUGGGACUGAGACACGGCCCAGACUCCUACGGGAGGCAGCAGUAGGGAAUCUUCCGCAAUGGACGAAAGUCUGACGGAGCAACGCCGCGUGAGUGAUGAAGGUUUUCGGAUCGUAAAACUCUGUUGUUAGGGAAGAACAAGUACGAGAGUAACUGCUCGUACCUUGACGGUACCUAACCAGAAAGCCACGGCUAACUACGUGCCAGCAGCCGCGGUAAUACGUAGGUGGCAAGCGUUGUCCGGAAUUAUUGGGCGUAAAGCGCGCGCAGGCGGUCCUUUAAGUCUGAUGUGAAAGCCCACGGCUCAACCGUGGAGGGUCAUUGGAAACUGAGGGACUUGAGUGCAGAAGAGAAGAGUGGAAUUCCACGUGUAGCGGUGAAAUGCGUAGAGAUGUGGAGGAACACCAGUGGCGAAGGCGACUCUUUGGUCUGUAACUGACGCUGAGGCGCGAAAGCGUGGGGAGCAAACAGGAUUAGAUACCCUGGUAGUCCACGCCGUAAACGAUGAGUGCUAAGUGUUAGAGGGUUUCCGCCCUUUAGUGCUGCAGCAAACGCAUUAAGCACUCCGCCUGGGGGAGUACGGCCGCAAGGCUGAAACUCAAAGAAUUGACGGGGGCCCGCACAGCGGUGGAGCAUGGUGGUUUAAUUCGAGCACAGCCGAGAACCUACCAGGUCUUGACAUCUCCUGACAUCUACAGAUAGGACGUUCCCC